rnacentral:rRNA from 1 species
CCUAGGGGAGGCAGCAGUGAGGAAUAUUUGUCAAUGGGCGUAAGCCUGAACCAGCCAAGUCGCGUGAGGGAUGAAGGUUCUAUGGAUCGUAAACCUCUUUUAUAAGGGAAUAAAGUGUGGGACGUGUCCUAUUUUGUAAGUACCUUAUGAAUAAGGAUCGGCUAACUCCGUGCCAGCAGCCGCGGUAAUACGGAGGAUCCGAGCGUUAUCCGGAUUUAUUGGGUUUAAAGGGUGCGUAGGCGGCCUUUUAAGUCAGAGGUGAAAGUCUUGGGCUCAACCAUUGAAUUGCCGUUGACACUGGUGGGCUUGAGUAUGUUUGAGGCAGGCGGAAUGCGUGGGGUAGCGGUGAAAUGCUUAGAUAUCACGCAGAACCCCGAUUGCGAAGGCAGCCUACCAAGCCAUGUCUGACGCUGAUGCACGAAAGCGUGGGGAGCAAACAGGAUUAGAUACCCGAGUAGUC